GUGGAAAGCUGUUUUUGUGGAGCAACAUACUCUUGGUCAUGAAAACGAUGAGCCCCAAUCUGAUUCUUUAGGAUGUGUUAUACUCUGAUUUCCAUCAAAGUAGCCCAAGAAGACCCAGGGAUUUCUUUGGGAAAGGGAUCCUCACAAACCCCAUGUGCACUGUGCUCAGGAGGGAAGGGAUUUACAGAUGGUACCUCCAAUGGGAGCAGGCAGGAAGGACUUGGCAAUUCCUCACUACCUCCUUGCAAUGGCAUUGACUUGACCAGCAAAAUGAACAGGAGUCCCCAUGUCCUCACCACCAUGUUUUUAAACAAAAGGCUUACCUGCUCCAUUUUUGCUGCAUAGCACUGAAAGCAGCAUGACACCCCCAGAGCAUCCUCAUCUGGGGAGGUGUACCUUGGCUACAAGCCACCUGAGGGUAGAAGGUGCCAUGAUACAAGGAGGAGCUCCAGCACCAGGGAGCUAAGGGAAGGGGAGUUUUGGGAGACCUGCUGCAAGCAGGGAU
rnacentral:lncRNA from 14 species